ACCAUGGAAGUAAUGUUACAAAUCAUAAAGCAUUAAAAGUAGAAGUUUUAAACAAUGAAGUAUACUAUUAUCAAUCAUUAGAUGGGAAAUUACGUAAAUUUAAUUUUCAAAAUGGUGACGACACAAUUGUGGUGUCAGGUGAAAUUGAAACUUUUUACUUAGAUCCACAAAGAGAAUAUGUGUAUGCAUUGAUGAGAGUAGAACCAGGAAAACAAGAACUCAAAAAAAUUAAAAUUGACCCAGAAGCAGUUGAA
rnacentral:ribozyme from 1 species